rnacentral:rRNA from 1 species
CUUGGUCAUUUAGAGGAAGUAAAAGUCGUAACAAGGUCUCCGUUGGUGAACCAGCGGAGGGAUCAUUACAGAGUUGCAAAACUCCCUAAACCAUUGUGAACGUUACCUAAACCGUUGCUUCGGCGGGCGGCGCCGGGGUUUACCCCCCGGGCGCCCCUGGGCCCCACCGCGGGCGCCCGCCGGAGGUCACCAAACUCUUGAUAAUUUAUGGCCUCUCUGAGUCUUCUGUACUGAAUAAGUCAAAACUUUCAACAACGGAUCUCUUGGUUCUGGCAUCGAUGAAGAACGCAGCGAAAUGCGAUAAGUAAUGUGAAUUGCAGAAUUCAGUGAAUCAUCGAAUCUUUGAACGCACAUUGCGCCCGCCAGUAUUCUGGCGGGCAUGCCUGUUCGAGCGUCAUUUCAACCAUCAAGCCCCGGGCUUGUGUUGGGGACCUGCGGCUGCCGCAGGCCCUGAAAAGCAGUGGCGGGCUCGCUGUCACACCGAGCGUAGUAGCAUACAUCUCGCUCUGGGCGUGCUGCGGGUUCCGGCCGUUAAACCACCUUUUAACCCAAGGUUGACCUCGGAUCAGGUAGGAAUACCCGCUGAACUUAAGCAUAUCAAUAAGCGGAGGA